GGAGACGCCGGCUGGUUCGAACCGGCACAGGUUCCAGGUUUGGGAACCUCCGGCUUGAAUCCAGACGCGCAUCGCUAUGAAGACAAAAGACUCACCCCCUUCCUCCACGCUUCCUAAAGGUCACCCCGAAUGUAUGCCCGCCGGGGGGCCGUCCGCAAAAGCACGAGUAAUGCUGGAGGCUUCCUCCUAGAGCAGUCUUUUCAAAAGGACUCCAACCUCUGCUCCUGGGUCCUGAAUGAGCAGGAACCUCAAAAAAAAAGGCCAGAAGGUUGAGAACCACUGCGAGCUCAGAGGAAGAAGUAGCAGUGAUGAUGAAACAUGACCCUGAGCGAUCCUGCUGCUAACCUGCCUCCUGCUAAAGCCCAGUCAGUCAGCCCAAGACCAGCAGGAAGAAGUCAGCGAUCCACUAAGGUCAGCUUUAUUUGUAAAUAAACCGGGAGGAAGGACCGUGCAGGGGAAGCGUGGGUACCACGGGGAAAGGCAGAGGAAGCGCCUUCUGUGAGGUUUCGGUUCCCGCCGAGGGAGGGGAGGGUCUAGGGAGAGCGGGGAUCCGGAUUGGACGCCGUUCCCGAGGCGCGAUUGGGAAAAGCGGGCCGGAAGCGGGGAUUGGGUGCGGUGCCCAGCAAUAAGCGACAAUAGCCACGGGGGCCUGGGUGUCAUUAAUUACAGCAAAACUGCUCACAGAAGACGCGGCAGCGCGAAUACAAGGUUCCCGGUUAACUCUGCAGCCCGCUUUCUCUGUGCCUGUCCGGUCGCUGCUGCUUGUUCUCAGUCCAGUCAGAACUGAUGCUCCUUCUUUAGGUCCUGGCCCAAACCAAGAAUUCUGGUUGGGAUUCUUGCACCCAUGAUGCCGAACUGGACAGGAUCCGGGUUCUGCCUUGGGAGCUCCAAACUGCUUUCAGACGCACCUUACCAUGAACGGAAGUUAUUUUCACGUCAACAGUUCAAAUGACAUCUUGUCCUUAUGCCCCGCAUUUGCUGGAAAUAGAGAAAAGAUGGGGGCACAGAAAGGAAACAGUAGAAAAGUUGGGCGAUGGGACAGAGGAGGUGUUGAGUGAUGGAGGGGUGAAGAAACUAGGCAUGAAGAACAGGAAAGAGAGUGUCAGGGGUCCCCAUGGAUUAGGAAUAUUGGGGCAAAGGUACGAUGAAGAGAUUUAAAAAAAAAAACAACCACGAAGAUGUUUAGCCUUCUCAGUGAUCCUAGGUUCAUGGAGGUCCUAAAUGGGAGGACGAAGGGCCAAAUUCACCCAGCAAAAAUGUUUCCUUUGGCCCACAUGGUAGUUUUCCAAAUAUAUUUUAAGUAGAUGCCAAAAUUCAAUAAAUCAAGAGAUUUUACCUUAAAAUCUAGAUUUCUAGUUUAUCUGGAAAAGAGGUAAGUGUCCAAGGCCUCUCUUCAUUCUGUAUAUGGGAGCAGUUGCUCCUGUUAAGCACCAGUGUUCCAUCAUUUCACUGCUCCUUGGCGAGACAGGCUGUGCCUCUCUUAAAGGGAUGAGAAUGCUCUUCAGUUAUUUUUAAGCCUCUCCUAGAUAAUUUUAAAGUUUCUCUUCAGGCACGCCUCAAAGAGCUCCACUCCGCACUGGUGUGAAGAACCCAGCCCCAAGCCAGACCCUGUGUGCUCCCUUAAUGCAGCUCCUUCCCUUUUUAUUCUCCCUCCACCUUGUUUUCACUAAACUUCUUCUUCUGAAUCUG